rnacentral:tRNA from 2 species
CGGGGUGUAGCGCAGCCUGGUAGCGUACUUGUAUGGGGUGCAAGGGGUCGUGGGUUCAAAUCCCGCCACCCCGA